rnacentral:lncRNA from 1 species
UUUUUAUAUGUAAAUAAAAUAUUGCUAGGACGUGCUAUUAGUUGCUUCAGAGGGUUCAAUGCUUAAUUCGCGCUAGACAAACUGUUAAAUUUUCGAAACUAUAUUGAUUUAAAAAUACCANNNNNNUCUCGUUGCGAAUUAGAUUUAAUGUUCAGUUUUUACUAUCUAGUAGAAAUCUCACGCUCUCGCUCUAUUGAUUUUUACUUUAAUUAAUUCUCACUCUCGUGACGAAUUAUAGUCAACGUUUAAUUAAAAAUUGCUUAAGAAAAUAAAACAGUUGCCAGUUUUCAAGAAUUAUAUUUGAUUUAAAAACACUAAUCUCAGCUCUCGCAAAUCUUGACUAGCGUUAUACUUAGAUAAAAUAAAUGCUCAGCUCUCACACGCUCACUUACCUAUAUAAGUACCUUUGAAAAUCAAUAUAAAACCCAUUAAUCCUAAAUAGCUCUCGCGGACUUUAGAACUAACGGUC